AUUGAACGCUGGCGGCAGGCCUAACACAUGCAAGUCGAACGGUAACAGGAAGCAGCUUGCUGCUUUGCUGACGAGUGGCGGACGGGUGAGUAAUGUCUGGGAAACUGCCUGAUGGAGGGGGAUAACUACUGGAAACGGUAGCUAAUACCGCAUAACGUCGCAAGCCCAAAGAGGGGGACCUUCUGGCCUCUUGCCAUCGGAUGUGCCCAGAUGGGAUUAGCUAGUAGGUGGGGUAACGGCUCACCUAGGCGACGAUCCCUAGCUGGUCUGAGAGGAUGACCAGCCACACUGGAACUGAGACACGGUCCAGACUCCUACGGGAGGCAGCAGUGGGGAAUAUUGCACAAUGGGCGCAAGCCUGAUGCAGCCAUGCCGCGUGUAUGAAGAAGGCCUUCGGGUUGUAAAGUACUUUCAGCGGGGAGGAAGGGAGUAAAGUUAAUACCUUUGCUCAUUGACGUUACCCGCAGAAGAAGCACCGGCUAACUCCGUG
rnacentral:rRNA from 1 species